rnacentral:rRNA from 1 species
UACAGAGGUCCCAAGCGUUGUUCGGAUUCAUUGGGCGUAAAGGGUGUGUAGGUGGCGCCGUAAGUCGGGUGUGAAAUUUCGGAGCUUAACUCCGAACCUGCAUUCGAUACUGCGGUGCUUGAGGACUGGAGAGGAGACUGGAAUUCAUGGUGUAGCAGUGAAAUGCGCAGAUAUCAGGAGGAACACCGGUGGCGAAGGCGGGUCUCUGGGCCGAUGACUGACGCUGAGGAGCGAAAGCGUGGGGAGCGAACAGG